rnacentral:pre_miRNA from 1 species
AAAAAGACAAACCCUGGGUUUCCAUGUCCAACGUUUGAUUAUCCGUCUUAUAUGAAAUUUUUUUAUAAUUAGUAUUUUUAUUAUUGUUAGAUGAUAAAACAUGAUUAAUACUUUAUGCGUGACUUAUCUUUUUAGUUUUUUUCAUAAUUUUUUCAAAUAAGACGGGCGGUCAAACGUUGAAUACGGAAACCUAUG